UACGUAGGGUGCGAGCGUUGUCCGGAAUUAUUGGGCGUAAAGAGCUCGUAGGCGGUCUGUCGCGUCGAAUGUGAAAACCCGGGGCUCAACUCCGGGCUUGCAUUCGAUACGGGCAGGCUAGAGUUCGGUAGGGGAGUCUGGAAUUCCUGGUGUAGCGGUGAAAUGCGCAGACUAUCAGGAGGAACACCGGUGGCGAAGGCGGGACUCUGGGCCGAUACUGACGUGGAGGAGCGAAAGCGUGGGGAGCGAACAGG
rnacentral:rRNA from 1 species